rnacentral:lncRNA from 1 species
UAGCAAUAUAGAUAGCUGACUUAAUCCACUGCGCAAAUAAGUUCCUGAAACCGGGCCUUGUAUGCCGAGUAUGAAUGUUAGAAGUAUGAAGUUCGAAGUGUUGAAGUUUUUCAUAAAGCCAUGAAUCUUGGUUUAAUUGCGUUAUUACUAAAAUAAUUUUGUGAUAAACAGGGUCGAGGAUGAAGAAGACGAUUAGGUUAGGUUUAAGUUAUUUGAAUAUGGCAAAGCAGGCGAGCGUUGUCUGCCUAAAGGAAGGAUGCUUUUUUGAAGGACUUUCUAAGGGAAUCUGACUCAUCAAGCAGCCAGCUCUUUCGUCUUGGUUCGAAUCCUUGACGAACUACCAGCAUUCAGUAGUCUUUAAACCUUUCAGCAACUGGUUGGGCGGAUCAAGAAAAAGUUAACUGUAAUAGUCUAUUGGUAUCAUGUUUGUAUUCGUCGCAAUGUUUGAAGAUGGGUUACCAGUUCUAAUGUAUAAAAAGGACUUGCAUCACAACAUUUCCUGAUACCACAUGCAGAGAUGAAUUUCCUUUUCUUGUUAAGAGCGAUCUGAAGAAGAAACAGGUGUGGGUCAAGGUCACUUGGAGGGUAAUUCACCCACUUUCGCAACCAACUGAAAAGCUUGUAUUUAGAAAGUUAACAGAUGAAGUCAGAAUUAUCUAAAACAAAUUUGUAAAAUUUUUCUUAAUAAAACGUCUUUUUCCUCAAA